AUACGUAGGGGGCGAGCGUUGUCCGGAAUGAUUGGGCGUAAAGGGCGCGUAGGCGGCCCGGUAAGUCUGGAGUGAAAGUCCUGUUUUUAAGAUGGGAAUUGCUUUGGAUACUGUCGGGCUUGAGUGCAGGAGAGGUAAGUGGAAUUCCCAGUGUAGCGGUGAAAUGCGUAGAGAUUGGGAGGAACACCAGUGGCGAAGGCGACUUUCUGGACUGUAACUGACGCUGAGGCGCGAAAGUGUGGGGAGCAAACAGGAUUAGAUACCCUGGUAGUCCACGCUGUAAACGAUGAAUGCUAGGUGUAGGGGGUAUCGACCCCUUCUGUGCCGCAGUCAACACAAUAAGCAUUCCGCCUGGGGAGUACGGCCGCAAGGUUGAAACUUAAAGGAAUUGACGGGG
rnacentral:rRNA from 1 species